rnacentral:ncRNA from 2 species
GGGAAGCCGGUGCGAAUCCGGCGCUGACCCGCAACCGUGAGCCGCCCCGCGCGGCGAGCCGGACUGCC